UGUUGUGCAAGGGUUAUUAAUUAGUUUAAUAGUUGUUAUCAAAGCUCACCGAUAGACUUGACAGAGACCAGACAAAGGUUAGGACAAUGUCAGUUAGGUGUUUGUCUUGUAGAGAGACUGAUAUGUGGCUCGGGACAGACACAGACAAUUAGUAAUGUUAGUUUAGGUGUAGGCUAGAUACUCAGCCUAUAUAGAGUAGAGUUUUGGGGCAGUAGGGACACAGCGCCAUGUAGUGUUAGCAGGGGCGUGUGUUGUGUGCGAGGCGUUCUCUGGUGAACGACACAUACAGACAUUGGGAGCAAGUCGCCGAGGCUGGCUCGCGAUCUUGGCUCCAAGAGGUGUGAGUUGUUUGCCAGAGACAACAUGUAGGAACUAAUUCUUAGGGACCAGGAGUGACAGUCUUAGUGACAGUCUGACGGUCAGAGACGGUAGAUCUAUAUAUGGUGUAUCCUUGCCUGCUACGCAAGGGGAUAUCACUCUAGUAUUGAGCGGACUGUGAAGUUGGGUUCCAGGAUCCGUGCAGAGACUAGAGAGAGAGAGAGAGAGAGAGAGAGACAAGAGAAAUGGAGAGAGAGAGAGAGAGACAAGAGAAAUGGAGAGUUCAUCGUGACCUACAGCCAAGUAUCAAUAUCUAUGUGAUUAUUAAAUUUUAAUUCUAGAAUCACAUGAGUAUUAUAUGUAAUUAUAGUUGUUAAUUAAAUAUUUAUUUUUCUUAUGCAAAUUUGUGUCCAGAGAUCAUGAUUUAUAUCAUUAUUGAAUAUUGUGGUCUUUAAUCCAUAGUAUUUUGUGAUGCGUGUGUUGUAUCAGUUAAAUUACAUCAGUAAGAAUCAUCCUAGACGUAUAGACAUCAAGAGCUGAUAUCAAGUUCUUGACAAUUGGGGCCUCGUCUGAAGUUUUAUUUUAAUUUUUUUACGACACUUUAAUGAUGUCUGGGGGCUAAUGAAUAACUGGGACCUGUUAUUUUUCUUUAAGUGAAAAUACUUUGGUUAUACUUGAUAUAGUAUUGACAUUUUUUUUAUCCAGCAUAGUAUUGAGAAAAUUGUAUUUUGCUUGUAAAGGUUUGGACGAAUAUUCACUGCUUAGAAUUAGCAUUAAGUAGAGUUUCUGUUUACACUUGUUGUAAUACCAUGAUUGUAUUUUUCAAAAUUUUUUUUUUCUACAUUUUGUUUUCUGCCUAGCAUUUGUUGUGGUACAGGUGAAUUGGCUGUUUGGCAGUGGACGUCACACAUGAUCUAUUUUUAGACUGUCACUCCUGAUUCCUGCGCCCAUUGUCUUGGGGCCUUCGUGUAUCCACGGUUUGAGGGUAACGUUGUUAUCUUCAGCGCGUGUUUUUUCAAUGUUUAGGUAAGCUGUAUGAUGUAGUGAGAUAAGGUGUAAGUUUUCUUGUUUUUAUUUUUGAUAGGGAGCUUAGGGAUUUCAUAGAGGUGGGAUAGAAAGAGGUGGACAUUAUUUUUAAAGCAUAACUACUGCACUGGGCAGUGUUACAUUUAUACUGUGCUUAUACUGUGUUUUUGCAGGCAGACAGGGGCGAGUUCUUGUUUGGAGAAGGUAGAAGGGGGUUGGACCUGUAUGUUCGCGUGGGGCAAACGUAUAGUGUCGUUGUCCUCAGUUAUUUUUUUUUCUUGCUUUUUAGCUUGUUAAGUUUUGUAGAUGGUUAGCCAGGUGAGCAGUACUGUUGGCCAGUUGUUUUUUUUUUUGCCAUUUUGGUGUUUUGAUAGACGGGAUAGGGGGUUUGAGAGACAGACAAUGGCGUUGGGUCAUGUAGUGUCUACCCCACCCAUGUAUUUUAGUAAUGCCUAUCAAACCUUGUAGUUGUUAAUGGAAGUUUUGGAAUUUCGUUUCCAGUGCCAUGCCAGAGGGCAGGGACAUUUGUUUUUCUUCUCCCUCUUAGUUGAGGUCGAGCGUUGAUUUUUGUUACCUGGUGUGUCCUUGUUGUACGGAUUCAUGGUAGUUAAGUCACAGGGUGACGUAAUGAUUUUUUUUUGUUGCGGCAAGAGUUGUUUUUUUUUACAGUGGGUCUCGAGUUUUGUUGGGCCUGGUUUCAGUUUUUUGUAUGCCGUCUAUUUUUUUUUCUUGAACGUGUUGAUGAUAGUUGGCUAUAGCUCUAUAUAGAAUAUCCGACAUUAGGUAUGUCGUGGAUUUUUUUAUUUUAGUGAGAUGUUGCUGUGUUGACAGAUCAUCAGUUUAUCAAAGUCAUUUGAUUAGUUUGUUCAACGUUUGAUAUUACUAAGAUGUUAAAGUUUAGGCCUGACGAGCUUGAAUUGGUUUUGAUUUUUUUUUACAUAGAUUUUUUUUUGUUGGCAAAUAUUUGAGCUUUAGCUGAGUUAUGGCGAUUAAUGUACACGCUAUCUAGGUAGUUCAGAAAAUUGGCGUUUAAGGACAUUUGUAUCCAAGGUGGAACAUGAGUUGUUUGUUGAAGGGUCAAGGGAGUCCUUCUAAUGGGGGAGGGUGCAUAACAGACACUGAAGUAAAUGACAAAGCGUUGUUUUUUUUUCUACGACAUGUGUGAUGGACACUGGCAAUGAGUACAGCCAUUUGACCAAUUUCUAUUCUAUUAUAGGGAUGCUAAUGAAUUUUGUAUUUUCAUUUUAUUAUCAUUAUGUUUUAGUUACUUAUAUAUUGAAUUACACUGUUCUAUAUUUAGGUCGAUAAAUAAGAUGCAAGUGGAGCUUGCAAUCCGAAAAACUUUGUCCAUGAUUAGAUGAUAUCAUUUUUCUUACUUUUAGUUUUAUAUUAAUUCGUGUUUUACUUGCACUCGAGAUUUGAUUGGCAGAAUUGCAUGUUCACUUUGAUGUAUAUUUUUUUUUUGUAAAUCUACUUGCAGAGAUUCAUGACUAUAUUAUUUGAUGUUUAAAGUUGAAGUUUGUGACAGUUGCAGUGCAGAUAUAUGAGAUGGCGAUGUUCACAUGUUUAUUUUGAUUUUUUUUUCUUCUUAAUUACAACCACUUUGUUUAUGAUUUUAUAAUCUUAUUCCAGUGUGCUACAGUUGCCUAAAGACUUUGGUUAGCAAUGCUGCAUGUGUUCUAUAACAUUAUUUUUAUGUCUCAAUAUAGUUCCAGAAUUUGUUCUCCAAAUGUGAGAUGGUAGAGGCAGUUUAGUGAGUCGUAUUAGUGUGACUUUGGUUGCAAAUAUUGCAACAAAAGUCAAAGGAGAAGGGGAAGAUGUCACAGUGUUGUGCAAGGGUUAUUAAUUAGUUUAAUAGCUGUUAUCAAAGCUCACCGAUAGACUUGACAGAGACCAGACAAAGGUUAGGACAAUGUCAGUUAGGUAUUUGUCUUGUAGAGAGACUGAUAUGUGGCUCGGGACAGACACAGACAAUAAGUAAUGUUAGUUUAGGUGUAGGCUAGAUACUCAGCCUAUAUAGAGUAGAGUUUUGGGGCAGUCGGGACACAGCGCCAUGUAGUGUUAGCAGGGGCGUGUGUUGUGUGCGAGGCGUUCUCUGGUGAACGACACAUACAGACAUUGGGAGCAAGUCGCCGAGGUUGGCUCGCGAUCUUGGCUCCAAGAGGUGUGAGUUGUUUGCCAGAGACAACAUGUAGGAACUAAUUCUUAGGGACCAGGAGUGACAGUCUUAGUGACAGUCUGACGGUCAGAGACGGAAGAUCUAUAUAUGGUGUAUCCUUGCCUGCUACGCAAGGGGAUAUCACUCUAGUAUUGAGCGGACUGUGACGUUGGGUUCCAGGAUCCGUGCAGAGACGAGAGAGAGAGAGAGAGAGAGAGAGACAAGAGAAAUGGAGAGUUCAUCGUGACCUACAGCCAAGCAUCAAUGUCUAUGUGAUUAUUAAAUUUUAAUUCUAGAAUCACAUGAGUAUUAUAUGUAAUUAUAGUUGAUAAUAAAUAAUUAUUAUUCAUAUGCAAAUUUGUGUCCAGAGAUCAUGAUUUAUAUCAUUAUUGAAUAUUGUGGUCUUUAAUCCAUAGUCAUUUGUGAUGCGUGUGUUUUAUCAGUUAAAUUACAUCAGUAAGAAUCAUCCUAGACGUAUAGACAUCAAGAGCUGAUAUCAAGUUCUUGACAGUGAUCUGGCGUAUGAUAAUUUAAUCAUUUCUAUAUUUCUGUACCUAAGACGGCCUGCAAGUGUAUAACUAUUUUAUAUUUUCUUUUACUAGAUCUAUGUCACACUAUGUGUACAUAUGCUAGAUAUAUCUUAAUUUAGUUUUUUGGAAUAUUUUUUAAAAGAGUUGACAGUUGUUCCCAUCAUGCUGUAUUGAAAAUGGCGGCGCCCAUUAGUCCCGCUUUGAGUAUUCUAGACCUAAUAGAAUAUAUGACUUUGUAUUUAUAGUUUUGCUUUUAUGUAUUGCAGGCUAUUUUCACUGCUGAAUAUAGAUCUAGCUGCUGAAAUACAUGCUGCUGUAUCUAAUAUUGUUGCUUUAAGCUGCUAUUACUCUGCUGCAUAUUACUGCUAUUGUUAUUGCUUCUGUAGAUCUAGGGAAUCUUUGAAUCUAGUGUUAUUUUGUUUUUGUAGUGUUACCUUCUAAGACUUAGUCCGCUUAGACCUAGUGGCUUAGUGACUAGUCUGUUAUUAGUGAAUAAUAAGGUACUAAUGUGUUCUUGUUUUAGUGUUAGUGUUAUGGGUUGGUUAUAGUAGUAGAAUAUUGUAGAUCUAGACUAGUUUAUUGUAGUGUGUUUGUGUGGAUCUAGGUCUAGUGUAGUAGUUGUCGUGCUUUAGUUAGAUAUUUGGUUUGAUUAGUUUCUGUUAGAUAGUUGGUUUGGUUACUUUGUGUUUGGUAGUGGCGUAGAUUUAGAGGGUUUUAGUUAGUAGUUAGAUUAGUUUACUAUUAGUUGUUUGGAUUUUAGUGUAUAUAUUUAUAUUUUAUUAUUUAUUUAUUUUUAUGUAAAUAAAGUAUCUUUUUGUUUUAUUUAUCCUAAACUAAAGUUUGUUUCUUGCUUUAGUUAAUUAGUUUAAUGUUGUUGUCCCAUUGCUUAGGCGUCUCUAGCCCCUUGGUUGUAGACUGAAGUGUAACAGAUGAGACCCGCCCAGUAGCGCUAACAUCUGCCUACUGAUAUAGAGUUUAAUGUUGAGCAGAUAAUAAAAGGUCCACUCAGCGCCUCCUGAACUCCUCACAUAUACGAAAAAUUUCUUAAAAUAUACAGAAAUAUCUACACGAAAUUGUCAUUUUGGUUAUCAUUCAAUAUAAAAAACGUCAAUCUUACGCGCUACAUUGUGCACUAGCCAUAAUUGUGUAAUCUGGUGAAAGAAGCUUCUCGCGCCUCAAACUAAUACCGGUAAAUAUAAUUACUUGAGGUCAACAAUUGUCGAAGAUAGAUUGAAACAUUUGGUAGUUCUUGCUAUUGAGCGUGAUCUAUGUAGGAAAUAUAAUUUUGUUGAUGUAC